rnacentral:rRNA from 1 species
AUACGGAGGGUGCGAGCGUUAAUCGGAAUUACUGGGCGUAAAGCGUACGUAGGCGGUUGGUUAAGUUAGAUGUAAAAGCCCCGGGCUUAACCUGGGAACUGCAUUUAAAACUGGCGAACUAGAGUUGAGUAGAGGGGAGUGGAAUUUCAGGUGUAGCGGUGAAAUGCGUAGAGAUCUGAAGGAACACCAGUGGCGAAGGCGACUCCCUGGACUCGAACUGACGCUGAGGUACGAAAGCGUGGGUAGCAAACGGGAUUAGAAACCCCAGUAGUCC